rnacentral:rRNA from 1 species
UCAGAUUGAACGCUGGCGGCAGGCCUAACACAUGCAAGUCGAGCGGUUGANGGAAGCUUGCUUCCUGAUUCAGCGGCGGACGGGUGAGUAAUGCCUAGGAAUCUGCCUGGUAGUGGGGGACAACGUUUCGAAAGGAACGCUAAUACCGCAUACGUCCUACGGGAGAAAGCAGGGGACCUUCGGGCCUUGCGCUAUCAGAUGAGCCUAGGUCGGAUUAGCUAGUUGGUGAGGUAAUGGCUCACCAAGGCGACGAUCCGUAACUGGUCUGAGAGGAUGAUCAGUCACACUGGAACUGAGACACGGUCCAGACUCCUACGGGAGGCAGCAGUGGGGAAUAUUGGACAAUGGGCGAAAGCCUGAUCCAGCCAUGCCGCGUGUGUGAAGAAGGUCUUCGGAUUGUAAAGCACUUUAAGUUGGGAGGAAGGGCAGUCAGCGAAUACCUUGCUGUCUUGACGUUACCGACAGAAUAAGCACCGGCUAACUCUGUGCCAGCAGCCGCGGUAAUACAGAGGGUGCAAGCGUUAAUCGGAAUUACUGGGCGUAAAGCGCGCGUAGGUGGUUUGUUAAGUUGRAUGUGAAAUCCCCGGGCUCAACCUGGGAACUGCAUCCAAAACUGGCAAGCUAGAGUAGGGCAGAGGGUGGUGGAAUUUCCUGUGUAGCGGUGAAAUGCGUAGAUAUAGGAAGGAACACCAGUGGCGAAGGCGACCACCUGGGCUCA